GAUGAACGCUAGCGGCAGGCCUAACACAUGCAAGUCGAGGGGUAGAGUUCUUCGGGUAAUGAGACCGGCGCACGGGUGCGUAACGCGUAUGCAAUCUACCUUUUACAGGGGAAUAGCCCAGAGAAAUUUGGAUUAAUGCCCCAUGGUAUUAUUCUUGGCAUCGAGAAUAAUUAAGUUCCAACGGUAAAAGAUGAGCAUGCGUCCCAUUAGUUAGUUGGUAGGGUAACGGCCUACCAAGGCUACGAUGUCUAGGGGUUCUGAGAGGAAGGUCCCCCACACUGGUACUGAGACACGGACCAGACUCCUACGGGAGGCAGCAGUGAGGAAUAUUGGUCAAUGGGCGAGAGCCUGAACCAGCCAUCCCGCGUGCAGGAAGACGGCCCUAUGGGUUGUAAACUGCUUUUGCGCAUGAAGAAUGUUACCGACGUGUCGGUAAGUGACGGUAAUGCGUGAAUAAGCAUCGGCUAACUCCGUG
rnacentral:rRNA from 1 species